rnacentral:rRNA from 1 species
UGCCAGCAGCCGCGGUAAGACGGGAGAUGCAAGCGUUAUCCGGAAUCAUUGGGUUUAAAGGGUCCGUAGGCGGUCUGAUAAGUCAGAGGUGAAAUCCUGCAGCUCAACUGUAGCAUUGCCUUUGAUACUGUUAGACUUGAGUUAUUGUGAAGUAGUUAGAAUGUGUGGUGUAGCGGUGAAAUGCAUAGAUAUCGCACAGAAUACCGAUUGCGAAGGCAGAUCACUAACAAUAUACUGACGCUCAUGGACGAAAGCGUGGGGAGCGAACAGGAUUAGAUA